UACGAAGGGGGCUAGCGUUGCUCGGAUUGACUGGGCGUAAAGGGCGCGUAGGCGGUUCGUACAGUCAGACGUGAAAUUCCUGGGCUUAACCUGGGGGCUGCAUUUGAUACGUGUGGGCUUGAGUGCGGAAGAGGGUCGUGGAAUUCCCAGUGUAGAGGUGAAAUUCGUAGAUAUUGGGAAGAACACCGGUGGCGAAGGCGGCGACCUGGUCCGUGACUGACGCUGAGGCGCGAAAGCGUGGGGAGCAAACAGG
rnacentral:rRNA from 1 species